rnacentral:rRNA from 1 species
UAUGUACUGGUCUUACUGAUUCCUCCUUCCUGAUGAACCGUAAUGCCAUUAAUUUGGUGUUGCGGGAAACUGGACUGUUACUUUGAAAAAUUAGAGUGUUUAAAGCAGGCUAACGCUUGAAUACAUUAGCAUGGAAUAAUGAAAUAGGACGUUCGAUCCUAUUUUGUUGGUUUCUAGGAUUGACGUAAUGAUUAAUAGGGAUAUUGGGGGCAUUAGUAUUCAAUUGUCAGAGGUGAAAUUCUUGGAUUUAUUGAAGACUAACUACUGCGAAAAGCAUUUGCCAAGGAUGUUUUCAUUAAUCAAGAACGAAAGUUAGGGGAUCGAAGACGAUCAGAUACCGUCGUAGUCUUAACCAUAAACUAUGCCGACUAGGGAUCGGAUGAUGUUAAUUUUUAAUGACUCAUUCGGCGCCUUACG